rnacentral:rRNA from 1 species
AAAGGGGCACGCAUUCGGUUGUUUAAGUGAGGUGUGAAAGCCCCGGGCCUACCCUGGGAAUUGCAUUUCACACUAAACAACUCGAGUACUUUAGUCUGGGGUACAAUUCCACGUGUAGCGGUGAAAUGCGUAGAGAUGUGGCGGAAUACCGCCUGCGAGCCCCUUGGGUGUACUGACGCUCAUGUGCGAAAGCGUGGGGAGCAAACAGGAUUAGAUACCUGGUGGUCCAACCACUAUGUUGCUGUCUGGACUCCCUAUGGCGUACUU